CUCAGAGCCUAGUUUCAGUCUUCUCGUGCCGGCGGCUUGGAAGUGAGAUGUGAGUGACGGCGCGUUUGCGAGCGUUCGGGGUAGUGGGCUUUGCCUCAACUCUCCCUCCUCACCUCGUCGCAUCGUUAAUGUAAGUACCAUGUCACAGCUCAUCGCGGGACAGCGUGGGACAGCGCGGGAGCUCCUCUUCGUUCAAAGGAAAGUGAAGGUCGUUUCCUAGGCGUUAGGAUGAUAGGCUGCUAGGCUGUUAGGCUGCUAACCCCCAUUCUUUUUCAGGUACACCUUAAUUCCUUUGAAUAUUUCCAGUUAUGUCCUAAUUACUGCAGCGCGGUUGCGACGAGACGCUUGUAUUGCAGUGAGGCUGGGAAAACUGCUGGAGGAGUGCGUCAUGCGUUAAAGGAUGUGUGAGUGAUGCAUUGGAUUUCCGAACCGAGGUGGCGCGUGUUACAGUAUGGACAAAGCUUGCUACAAUACUGACGAAACUUGAGUUAGAAGUACACAAGGAAGACUUAAGGAAGAGUAGCUGUGAUGUUCAGGUCGAAGUUGGCAAAUGCACGACAUUCUAGCCAAG